GACGAACGCUGGCGGCGGGCUUAACACAUGCAAGUCGAACGGAAAGGCCCUGCUUUUGUGGGGUGCUCGAGUGGCGAACGGGUGAGUAACACGUGAGUAACCUGCCCUUGACUUUGGGAUAACUUCAGGAAACUGGGGCUAAUACCGGAUAGGAUCUCCUGCUGCAUGGUGGGGGUUGGAAAGUUUCGGCGGUUGGGGAUGGACUCGCGGCUUAUCAGCUUGUUGGUGGGGUAGUGGCUUACCAAGGCUUUGACGGGUAGCCGGCCUGAGAGGGUGACCGGCGACAUUGGGACUGAGAUACGGCCCAGACUCCUACGGGAGGCAGCAGUGGGGAAUAUUGCACAAUGGGCGGAAGCCUGAUGCAGCAACGCCGCGUGCGGGAUGACGGCCUUCGGGUUGUAAACCGCUUUCGCCUGUGACGAAGCGUGAGUGACGGUAAUGGGUAAAGAAGCACCGGCUAACUACGUG
rnacentral:rRNA from 1 species